GGCGGACACACCGUCCCUCAACCUUCGCAGAGGGGUCCGGCCAGUGUGCAGGGACCACGGGGGGGGGGCAGGCGAGUCAUUCCGCCCCUCUGUGACCCAGAGCCCCUCCCUGGAAACGGACAUACAGAAGCUUUGAGCAGGGCAGGCACUCUCCAGAGUGCGUUUCAGACCGCUGCCCGCCUGUGGGAACUGGGCUGCCUCACAGGCCGGGCUCUGCAGGCGCUCAGUGGGGAACUAGACCGGAAACCUUUAGGGGGUGGCUCUCUGCAUCCUCUGGGACCCAGAUGGGAAGCGGUGGCUUCCUCUGGUGUCCUUAACGAAGGUUAUCGCUCAUGCCCAGUAGCCACACGGAACUCAGAAGCUGUCAGCCAGGAUCUGAACUUGCAACCUGAGAGGUGGAUGGUGGUGGGACAUGCUGGUGGGCAGGAGCUGAGGACCUGGGCGGCAGAGCCAGGACAUCCCUCCCUCAUCUUCAGUGUCCCGCUGGAAGUGGAGGAAAGCGAGGCCCAGCACGCGCAGUCCCGGGGGGCUUCACCAUCCAUCUGCUGUGGUCCCGUGGGGCUCUACUCCAGCCCCUCUCACCGGUUGCUAGGCUUCCAUGGACUGAGCUCUGGUGGAAUGAUUGUAACUGAUCCCGAAGCUUGCACAGUGCAUGGUGACCAAACACGGUGGCUCCGCUGGCUCCAUCUGGUACUGACCGCCUCACAGGGUCAGAUGAGGGCUGGAUCCCGCUGGCCAGCCGGGCCUGGGGGGCCCUGAGCUGGGCUUUGAGGUUGGGGUUGGCGAAACUCUGCACAGCCAGCCCAGGAGCAGAGCCUGACGCCCUCUGCAGGGAAGGCCAAGGUGGCAGCCCCACAGCCUCCAGUCAGUUCUCGGCUGGGCAGCAUGCAGCCUCCAUCUCCCACCAGCUCUGCUAUUCUGGAGCAGGAGUGCUUCCGGCAUGGUGGGUGCCACAGCCUAGAGAAUUUCCUGCCUGGGCAGAAAGCUCGGGACACUGACACUGUCUGCUGGCUUGGGUGGGGGAGAAAGCCUAUGUUCAAAUGUGACCGUAAGUGUGACAAAGGCCAUUUCUGGGCUGGUUGAGUUUAAAGGAGACAUUUCUAUGGUUUGUAAAGUCUGAUCCAUGUUGCUGAAUCAUUUAUGUUUAAUAUGUACAUUUACACAUAAGUAUAUGUUGCCUUUUCAAUGUUUUCAGAAAACAGUGCUUUGAACCCAGGAUAGCAAUUUGAUUGAGACUUGCUAUAGUCAAAAAUAAAAUAAUUACAGGAUGAUUUCAAUGUGCUGGCC
rnacentral:lncRNA from 1 species